rnacentral:rRNA from 1 species
GACGAACGUCUGGCGGCGGUGGUCUAACACAUGCAAGUCGAACGGGGUUGAUUCUUCGGAGGUUAACUUAGGUGGACGGAACGGGUGAGUAACGCGUGAGAAACCUGCCUUUCAGUGGGGGACAACAGUUGGAAACGACUGCUAAUACCGCAUAAUGUCAUUUAAGGGCAUCCUUGAAUGACCAAAGCUUUAUGUGCUGAAAGAUGGUCUCGCGUCUGACUAGCUAGAUGGCGGGGUAACGGCCCACCAUGGCGACGAUCAGUAGCCGGUCUGAGAGGAUGAACGGCCACAUUGGGACUGAGAUACGGCCCAG